rnacentral:rRNA from 1 species
AGCGAACGCUGGCGGCAGGCCUAACACAUGCAAGUCGAACGAACCUUUCGGGGUUAGUGGCGGACGGGUGAGUAACACGUGGGAACGUGCCCUUAGGUUCGGAAUAACUCAGGGAAACUUGUGCUAAUACCGAAUGUGCUCUUCGGGGGAAAGAUUUAUCGCCUUUAGAGCGGCCCGCGUCUGAUUAGCUAGUUGGUUGAGGUAAUGGCUCACCAAGGCGACGAUCAGUAGCUGGUCUGAGAAGAUGAUCAGCCACAUUGGGACUGAGACACGGCCCAAAAUCCUACGGGAGGCAGCAGUGGGGAAUCUUGCGCAAUGGGCGAAAGCCUGACGCAGCCAUGCCGGGUGAAUGAUGAAGGUCUUAGGAUUGUAAAAUUCUUUCACCGGGGACGAUAAUGACGGUACCCGGAAAAGAAGCCCCGGCUAACUUCGUG